rnacentral:rRNA from 1 species
AUACGGAGGACGCGAGCGUUAUCCGGAUUCAUUGGGUUUAAAGGGUGCGCAGGCGGCCGUGCAAGUCAGCGGUGAAAGCCCGGGGCCCAACCCCGGAAGUGCCGUUGAUACUGCAUGGCUUGAAUGCGGUCGAGGCGGGCAGAACGGGGCGUGUAGCGGUGAAAUGCGUAGAUAUGCCACAGAACGCCGAUAGCGGAGGCAGCUCGCCAGGCCUGCAUUGACGCUCGGGCACGAAAGCGUGGGGAUCGAACAGGAUUAGAUACCCUGGUAGUCCACGCCGUAAACGAUGGGCGCUCGUCGUCGGCGGCAGACAGUCGGCGGCCAAGCGAAAGCGAUAAGCGCCCCACCUGGGGAGUACGGUCGCAAGGCUGAAACUCAAAUGAAUUGACGGGG